UACGGAGGGUGCGAGCGUUAAUCGGAAUUACUGGGCGUAAAGGGUGCGUAGGUGGUUUAAUAAGUUAGCUGUGAAAUGCCUGGGCUUAACCUGGGACGGUCAGCUAAGACUGUUAGGCUAGAGUAUGGGAGGAGGGUAGUGGAAUUUCCGGUGUAGCGGUGAAAUGCGUAGAUAUCGGAAGGAACACCGGUGGCGAAGGCGGCUACCUGGCCUAAUACUGGACACUGAGGCACGAAAGCGUGGGGAGCAAACAGGG
rnacentral:rRNA from 1 species